rnacentral:rRNA from 1 species
AUUCAACCUAACUCGUGGACGUGGAUAACCUCGGGAAACUGAGAAUAAACCACGAUAGAUCAUAGUGCCUGGAAUGGCUUAUGGUCCAAACAGUUUACUGCCAUGGGAUGGGACUGCGGCCUAUCAGCUUGUUGGUGAGGUAAUGGCCCCACCAAGGCGAUUACAGGUACGGGCUCUGAGAGGAGAAGCCCGGAGAUGGGUACUGAGACACGGACCCAGGCCCUAUGGGGCGCAGCAGGCGAGAAACCUUAGCAAUGUGCGAAAGCACGACUGGGUCAGUCCGAGUGAUUCCUGAUAAAGGAGUCUUUUGCUUGUCCUAAAAGCACAGGUGAAUAAGGGGUGGGCAAGUCUGGUGUCAGCCGCCGCGGUAAUACCAGCACCUCGAGUGGUCAGGACGUUUAUUGGGCCUAAAGCAUCCGUAGCCGGCUUUGCAAGUCUUCGGUUAAAUCCACCUGCUCAACAGAUGGGCCGCUGGAGAUACUACAGAGCUAGGGAGUGGGAGAGGCAGACGGUAUUCAGUGGGUAGGGGUAAAAUCCUCUGAUCCAUUGAGGACCACCAGUGGCGAAGGCGGUCUGCCAGAACACGUUCGACGGUGAGGGAUGAAAGCUGGGGUAGCAAACCGGAUUAGAUACCCGGGUAGUCCCAGCUGUAAACGAUGCAAACUCGGUGAUGCAUUGGCUUAUGGCCAAUGCAGUGCCGCAGGGAAGCCGUUAAGUUUGCCGCCUGGGAAGUACGGACGCAAGUCUGAAACUUAA